rnacentral:rRNA from 1 species
CACGCCGUAAACGAUGAGUGCUAGGUGUUAGGCCCUUUCCGGGGCUUAGUGCCGCAGCUAACGCAUUAAGCACUCCGCCUGGGGAGUACGACCGCAAGGUUGAAACUCAAAGGAAUUGACGGGGGCCCGCACAAGCAGUGGAGUAUGUGGUUUAAUUCGAAGCAACGCGAAGAACCUUACCAGGGCUUGACAUCCUCGGACGACACUAGAGAUAGUGUUUUCUCUUCGGAGACUGAGAGACAGGUGG